rnacentral:rRNA from 1 species
GCUAACGCUUGAAUACAUUAGCAUGGAAUAAUGAAAUAGGACGUUCAAACCUAUUUUGUUGGUUUCUAGGAUUGACGUAAUGAUUAAUAGGGAUAGUUGGGGGCAUUAGUAUUCAAUUGUCAGAGGUGAAAUUCUUGGAUUUAUUGAAGACUAACUACUGCGAAAGCAUUUGCCAAGGAUGUUUUCAUUAAUCAAGAACGAAAGUUAGGGGAUCGAAGACGAUCAGAUACCGUCGUAGUCUUAACCAUAAACUAUGCCGACUAGGGAUCGGAUGAUGUUAAUUUUUUAAUGACUCAUUCGGCGCCUUACG